AGCGAACGCUGGCGGCAGGCUUAACACAUGCAAGUCGAGCGGGCAUCUUCGGAUGUCAGCGGCAGACGGGUGAGUAACACGUGGGAACGUACCCUUCGGUUCGGAACAACUCUGGGAAACUGGAGCUAAUACCGGAUACGCCCUUAUGGGGAAAGGUUUACUGCCGAAGGAUCGGCCCGCGUCUGAUUAGCUAGUUGGUGGGGUAACGGCCUACCAAGGCGACGAUCAGUAGCUGGUCUGAGAGGAUGAUCAGCCACACUGGGACUGAGACACGGCCCAGACUCCUACGGGAGGCAGCAGUGGGGAAUAUUGGAAAAUGGGCGCAAGCCUGAUCCAGCCAUGCCGCGUGAGUGAUGAAGGCCUUAGGGUUGUAAAGCUCUUUUGUCCGGGACGAUAAUGACGGUACCGGAAGAAUAAGCCCCGGCUAACUUCGUG
rnacentral:rRNA from 1 species